rfam:Triticum urartu cultivar G1812 contig446233, whole genome shotgun sequence.
AUACUACUCCCUCCAUCCUGAAUUAGCUGUCAUAGAUUUGUCUAGAUACAAAUAUAUUUAGAUAUGUUUUAGUGUUAGAUACAUCCGUAUCUAAUUAAAUCUAACACAACUAAUUUGGGACGGAGGUAGUAAUAU